rnacentral:tRNA from 1 species
GCGUGGCUGAAUGGUAACGCUGUCCGCUUUGUAAGCGGAUGAUUCUGGGUUCGAUUCCCAUCUGCUGCA